rnacentral:rRNA from 1 species
AAGACCCCUUUAUCCCAUUUCUCAGAUGUUUUUAAUGUUUUCAUUCAUCUACCGGGCCUGAGGGAGAUUUUCAUGACCGGUGGCUACUUCACAUGGUCUAAUAAACAAGACCAUCCCACUUUGGAAAAACUUGAUAGGGUCUUAAUGUCCUCUGACUGGGAAGACUUAUACCCUUUAGUGUCGGUUGUAAAAAUGGUCAAGGACUUAUCUGAUCAUAAUCCUUUGCUGAUGGAUGGGGGUGUGGCUCCGUCCAGGGCCCCGGGUAAUAGGUGCUUUAAGUUUGACAACGCCUGGUUGUGCAAUCCAGAGUUCCUACCUCUUGUUGCUGAAAUCUGGGCGAAACAUGUGUACACGGACGACCCUAUUGAUGUUCUGAAUAUUAAGUUGAAGAGGAUGAAGAAGUUUUUUAAAGGGUGGGGCUCAAAUAAUUUUGGCAAUAGUAGGAUUAAGAAGAACCUACUUAGACUGGAGCUUCAGGAGUUGGAGCUUUUAGAAGAGCAAUCUGAUCUGUGUGGGGAGGCAUAUAUGAGGAAGUUAAGUAUCCUGGUAGAACUUAAUAAUAUUUACAUGGAGGAGGAGGAGUCAUGGCACCAAAAGUCUACCAAAAGGUGGCUUCUGAAAGGUGAUAAUAAUACCGAUUUCUUCCAUAAAGUGGUUAAUGGGAGACGUAGGAAAAAUACGAUGGGUUCUCUUGAAUGUGGUUCGACUACUAUUGAGGGGACUAAGAAUUUAUUAUCCCAUGCUACUAGAUUCUAUAAGGAGUUGUUUGGACCUGCACCCGGCAAUAUGUGUAGUAUUGAUGCCUCUUUGUGGUCUAGUGAGGAGAAAAUAUCCUCGAGUGAUAAUGAUGAGUUAACCAAACCCUUUUCCCUUGAGGAGAUU